rnacentral:tRNA from 1 species
CGUGGGGAUCGCGAGCGCGGCGAUCGCCCGCGCUCCUUCGGUGAUCGCAAGCGCAGCUUCGACGACCGCCCGCGUGA